UUGGACAUUCCGGAGGCCAGUGGAGUACUGCAGAGAGUGUCUGAAUGCCAGUGUCGUGAGCCCGGAGGCCUAGGGUGGGCAGCUUGGCGAGAGAGCACAAGGGCCAAAGUCGCUGGAAGAGUCAUUCUCACCCUUAUGGGCAGGAGCGCAACAGUGUUAGCUGCCUCAGCCCUGCGCCCCCUCCAGGCGGACGGUGUCCUUGCUGCAGUCGGCCGGCGGGUUCAGUCGGCCGGCGGGUUCCGUUCCCGCGCCGCAGUCCAGGGCGCUCGUAGGGGGCGCCAACUGGCGCCAACCUGGGCCAACGGCUCAUGCGAGCCCAUGGAACCCCACUCCCGCGUCCCCCCACACUAAGCACGCCGGCGUCCCUAGCUGAUUCGAGAGGCCAGUACCUCGAGGCGCGGGAGGGCGGGGCGGAAAGCAGUGCUCGCCCACCUGCCGGCCAAGAAAGCCUCGCGUGGGCGCACGCGCCGCCGCCGUCCACGCUUCAACCCGCCAGCUCAGCCCCCGCUGCAUGCUGCCGGCCCUCAACCCAGCAAGCCGGCCCUCGAGCUCCGCUGGGCAGCGCAGGGCCCGCAGUGUAGAGUCCACCGGCCCCGGACGGCCCCGGGUUAAUCCAGUGCAGAAACAGCUUCAUCUUGUUAUCCAAGCCAACUUCUGGAGCUUCUGGAAGGAUGAUGCUCUUCCAAGCUGAGAAAUGAUCACAGACCAGACUAGCAGCUGGGAGACUGCAGAGAACAAGAGAUUACCUUUUCAUGAGAAAGAGCAGCUUCCACAACUUCUUGGCUUCUUCCUGAGAAGUUCUCCUAGCUGAGGAAACAGAAGAUAGUGUUAUGUGGAACUGGAGAGGAUUCAGGAACAUCCUAUAAGCAGUUGAAGGCCUUUUAAUGAGAGGAUACUGAAAACCCCAAGAGUCAGAACACUAAGUCACAUCUGUGUACAACUUAACUGUUUACAAUGUGUUG